AACGCUCAAUUGCUGUAAUCAGGGAGGAGGAACAAUUAUAGCAAUUUCAGAGAAGCGCGAGGCAUGCGGGAAAAUUGGAGCCACAUGAGCAGAGGGUGUUCCCUACCCGCGAGGCUCCUGAGCAGAUGGUAUAAGAGCUCUUCCUCCUCCGCUCUCCUCCAGCCCAAUCUGCUGAACCUUGUGAAGAAUCAGAUUUGCCUCCCACCACAGAGUCAUGGUUUUCCCUGGGGAGCUUUGUGGCUACAACGUCUCCUGCAGCACAAGCCUCCCCUCAACAACACUCCUAUUGCAACCACCAGCUGUUGUGGCUGAAACAAAGCUGACGGACCUAGAGAUCCUCAUCCCGGAGCCCCCACCAUGUGAAAUCCCAGAAUGUGGCUUCGAUCCAUGCCACUUGCCUCCGUGGUACUGCCACCUGCCUCCUGAGCCGCCCAUCAUAUUUGCCACCUUCGCCACCUGCCUGCACGAAGCAUAAGUGUGGCCUGCCGGCGGCCAUCUUGCGAUAGGCCCGUUUCAGGCAGGAGGUGCUGCAGACAGGAAGUGGGGGCUGCAUUAGGAACGGGAGUCAGGAGCAAUGCUCCACACGUUGAGGCCACACUUGUUAUUGGCGCCUGUCCUUAAAGGUUCAGGAUCGGUGGCUGUCAUCCAUUUUGUAUAUCCAUGUAGUAGAAGUUUGAAAACAACAACAAUAAUAAUCACAGGUGCUGUGAAUUACAGUUUUAGCCCGAGUCUUUCUUUUUGCAGUGGGGCAAUUCAGGUGACUAUGUCCAGAACAUUCCAGAAGACGCAGGUUGAGAGGUGGGAGGAGGUGGAGGAAGAGGUGGAAGAAGAGUUAGUAGGCCUAAAAUAGCAUCAAGGGAACCUUUGGUCCUCCAGACACUGUUGAGCAUCAUCAAUGGUUGGGGGUGAUUGGAGCUAUUUGCUGGAUCCUACAUUCCCGUUCCUUGGCCUAAACCAUACCUCAAGGGUGGUUGACCAGUGAUCAUCCAGAUAUGGCGAAACUACAACUCCAGUCAACCCCAGCCAGUAUUGCCAGUGAUCAAUGGAAUUGGAAACUGUAGUUCAUUAGCCUCUCGAGGGCCACAGGCCCCCAUCCCUGUCAUAAGUCUGCCCCCAGUUAAAGCUUUCUUUAUUGGCCAUCAGAUUGCUACCUAAACUGCUGGUACCAGAGGCACAUUUCCCCCUCCCAUUUAAAUAUCAGUUUUACAUCAUCCAGGUAUUUCCUUUCCAAGUGUGUGUAAAAGGGGAGAACUAAAUGUCGUUGGAGUUGCCCACCCAACUGUAAUGGCAAUGCCUCCUUGGAGAGUAUUAUUGAGCCUCUGCGUCAUUAGGCACCCCUAAUGCAGAUUUGUACAUUCUUCGAGCCAGAUACCUUUCUUCUUAUGCUAUGUAGAGUGCUGUGUACAUAGAAGGUGAAAUAAAUAAUAUUAUGAAACAAAAGCAUCUGGUUCAAUCAGAGGUAUGUUGGAAGGAGAGAAUACCAGCACAGAGGACUUUGUGGGCCACAGAGCACAAAACACAGUCUGGAUAUUAAUACAGUGGUACCUCUACUUAUGGAUUUAAUGCAUUCCAAACGCACAUUUGUAAGUCGAAAAAAAUUGUAAGUCGAAUCCCAGAGGAAUGCAUUGGGAGAAAAAAAUUGUAAGUAGAAGCAACCCUAUCUAAAAAUUCAUAAGUAGAAAAAAUCCUAUCUAAACCGCAUCCAAGAUGGCGGACGGAGCUCCAUUCGUAAGUAGAAACAUUCGUAAGUAGAGUUAUUCGUAAGUAGAGGUACCACUGUAGUGUAAAUGUCAACAUUUUAAUGAAGGUGGGGAGAACCAGCCAUAACUUAUGUCAUGCAAAGAAACUGGCAAAGCCCAUCUGAUGACAUCAUUAAAGUCA